rnacentral:lncRNA from 1 species
CAUGUUGAUCUUCUUCAGGGCCAGCCAGACCCCCUGUCAGCCCCAACGUGCUCUAAAACCCAACCCCCACAAGAGGAAGCCCAAAUAUGACCUGCCCCUGCCCAGUACACAUGACCACAGCCACGUCAACAGUGGGCGUCAGGCUUGUAAGAGACAUGAAUAAUAUGUGAGCUUUAGUGACCUAGGCUGGAAGGACUGGGUCCUGGCUCCUAGUGGUUACUCUGCCUUCUACUGUGAUGGAGAAUGCCUAUACCCUCUGGGUUCCUGCAUGAACACCA